GCUCAGAAACUCAAAUGAAUUGACGGGGCCCGCACAAGCGGUGGAGUAUGUGGUUUAAUUCGAUGCAACGCGAAGAACUUACCUGGUCUUGACAUCCCGGAGACCCUUAGGAAACUAGGGGGUGCUUCCACCUGGAAGAAUCUGGAGACAGGUGCUGCAUGGCUGUCGUCAGCUCGUGUCGUGAGAUGUUGGGUUAAGUCCCGCAACGAGCGCAACCCUUGCCUUUAGUUGCCAGCAGUUCGGCUGGGCACUCUAAAGGGACUGCCGGUGUUAAACCGGAGGAAGGUGGGGAUGACGUCAAGUCCUCAUGGCCUUUAUGACCAGGGCUACACACGUACUACAAUGGCCGAUACAAAGGGCAGCGACACUGCGAGGUGAAGCCAAUCCCGUAAAAUCGGUCUCAGUCCGGAUUGGAGUCUGCAACUCGACUCCAUGAAGUUGGAAUCGCUAGUAAUCGUGGAUCAGCAUGCCACGGUGAAUACGUUCCCGGGCCUU
rnacentral:rRNA from 1 species